CAGGGGGUUUCCUCCUCUCUGGUGGGUCUGUGAUGACCACGAGUACAGCUGCCCUUGGCCUGUCUGCAGAUACGACUCAUCGAACUCCUGUGGGACGGAAGCAAAGCAGAUUGGCUGUAUGUACUCCUGCCCAUCCCGCCUGUCUUUAAAAGCUCACAGACCAACACUGGACAAGUUUAAAAAAGGUAUGCUUACAGAGAAUCUCCACUGUGAAGAAGAGACUGGUGCUUCCAGCCAUGUUGGUGACCACACAGCUGUACUGGCCGCUGUCCUCAGGCCCCACCUCCUGGAUCUCCAAGUACUGACC